rnacentral:miRNA from 14 species
CUGGUUUACUUACUACAAGUCCCAGGGUGCACUGCACCUUUUUCUUAACUUCAGAUAAGAGCAUUGCAUGCUGGGAUAUGUAGUUGGUUUAAAUAGUA